CAGUGCAGGGAGAAGGCGGAAGUGCAGAGUGGGCUCACCUCUCGCCCACACUGUCCCCUUCUCCCCAG
ensembl:miRNA